GCUGGUGUAGCUCACGUUGGCCCCGAGCACCUGUCUAGUAAACAGGAGGACGCAGGUUCGAUCCCUGUCACCAGCCC
rnacentral:tRNA from 1 species